AUACGGAGGGUGCAAGCGUUACUCGGAAUCACUGGGCGUAAAGCGCGCGCAGGCGGUCUUUUAAGUUGGAUGUGAAAGCCUACGGCUCAACCGUAGAACUGCAUCCAAAACUAUUAGACUAGAGUGUGGGAGAGGAAGAUGGAAUUAGUUGUGUAGGGGUAAAAUCCGUAGAGAUAACUAGGAAUACCAAAAGCGAAGGCAAUCUUCUGGAACACUACUGACGCUGAGGCGCGAAAGCGUGGGGAGCAAACGGGAUUAGAUACCCUAGUAGUCC
rnacentral:rRNA from 1 species